CCCGCCAAUUCCUUUAAGUUUCUCUGGUUGAUCCUGCCAGAGGUCACUGCUAUCGGUGUUCGACUAAGCCAUGCGAGUCAAAUGUUCUUCGUGAACAUGGCGUACUGCUCGGUAACACGUGGAUAACCUGCCCUUAGGUCUGGCAUAACCCCGGGAAACUGGGGAUAAUUCCGGAUAGAUCAUAGAUGCUGGAAUGCCCUGUGAUCCAAAGCUUUUGUGCCUAAGGAUGGGUCUGCGGUCUAUCAGGUUGUAGUGGGUGUAACGUACCUACUAGCCUACGACGGAUACGGGUUGUGGGAGCAAGAGCCCGGAGAUGGAUUCUGAGACAUGAAUCCAGGCCCUACGGGGCGCAGCAGGCGCGAAAACUUUACAAUGCGGGAAACCGCGAUAAGGGGACACCGAGUGCCAGCAUCCUAUGUUGGCUGUCCAUAUGUAUAAAUCACAUGUGUUAGCAAGGGCCGGGCAAGACCGGUGCCAGCCGCCGCGGUAACACCGGCGGCCCGAGUGGUGGCCACUAUUAUUGGGUCUAAAGGGUCCGUAGCCGGUUUGGUCAGUCUUCCGGGAAAUCUGACGGCUUAACCGUUAGGCUUUCGGGGGAUACUACCAGGCUUGGGACCGGGAGAGGUAAGAGGUACUACGGGGGUAGGAGUGAAAUCUUGUAAUCCCUGUGGGACCACCUGUGGCGAAGGCGUCUUACCAGAACGGGUUCGACGGUGAGGGACGAAAGCUGGGGGCACGAACCGGAUUAGAUACCCGGGUAGUCCCAGCCGUAAACGAUGCUCGCUAGGUGUCAGGCAUGGCGCGACCGUGUCUGGUGCCGCAGGGAAGCCGUGAAGCGAGCCACCUGGGAAGUACGGCCGCAAGGCU
rnacentral:rRNA from 1 species